AAUCAACGCUGGCGGCGUGCCUCAGACAUGCAAGUCGAACGAGAAAGUCCCCUUCGGGGGAUAAGUAAAGUGGCGCACGGGUGAGUAACACGUAGGUAAUCUACCUUCGGGUGGGGAAUAACCCAGGGAAACUUGGGCUAACACCGCAUGAUGCAGCGGCACCACAUGGUGACAGUUGUUAAAGCGGGGGAUUUUCGGACCUCGCGCCUGAAGAGGAGCCUGCGGCGGAUUAGCUAGUUGGAAGGUAACGGCUUACCAAGGUCACGAUCCGUAGCCGGCCUGAGAGGGCGGUCGGGCCACACUGACACUGACAUACGGGUCAGGCUCCUACGGGAGGCAGCAGUCGGGAAUUUUGGGCAAUGGGCGAAAGCCUGACCCAGCAACGCCGCGUGAAGGAUG
rnacentral:rRNA from 1 species